AGACAAGAAUGAAUGUGGCUACCUUUAAAAACGUAGAAGUCUUUUUCCGAUUGAUAUUGUAGUAUAAAAUCUUUCGUUCUGUCUAUGGUAGAGCCCAACCAGAUUAUAGGUAGAAGUGUCAAUGCAUUAUUGUUCACGUCAGUGUGUACUACUGAUCUUCUGUUUAAUUUGACAUGCCUUCCUUCUUUUAUUUUUGAUUUAACAGAAUGAAUUUAAGGACUUCUCACUGAAGUGGACAAAGACAUUUAGUCACUUUGACAGAGCAGGGCAAACCAAGUUGGCAGACAAGUUACCUGGAGAAAAAGAGAGAUGGAUGCAGAAGCUGAAGAUAAAACGCUGCGUACCCGCUCUAAAGGAACCAAGGUGCCAAUAGAUUCUCUAAUUCAGGAGCUCAGGUAAGAUUUGUCCCACGUUACUUUUUCUAGUAUCGAUUUGGCUUUAAUUAUUAGAAUG